rnacentral:rRNA from 1 species
AGGUUAAGGCUGAGGCGUGAUGACGAGGCACCACGGUGCUGAAGUGACAAAUGCCCUGCUUCCAGGAAAAGCCUCUAAGCAUCAGGUAACAUCAAAUCGUACCCCAAACCGACACAGGUGGUCAGGUAGAGAAUACCAAGGCGCUUGAGAGAACUCGGGUGAAGGAACUAGGCAA